rnacentral:misc_RNA from 1 species
GAGUCAAGGAACUCAUAGCCCAUCUGCAAGAUAAAUAUAUCUUCAGUUGCGGCAAAAAAAUAUGGAGGGAACAAGAAAAAAUGGCAAAGAGAAGUCCAUUUGAAGUACAACAAUAUAACAGCAAAAUGAUAAAUAAUGGAUCUGUUGAUCAAAGGAGCUGUAAAUGAGAAAUAACAAAUAAAAGAACCAAUAAUAUUCUGCAGCCACUUUAAUCAGUGAAAGUCAACUUGGCAGACAAAAUAGAAUUGCAAGUUGCCUACCUGAAAAGCCAUAUGUUUAAAUUCACCACUACACCAAAAGAAAGACAGAAUGACAUUAUUCAAAACUCAGGAUUUCCUUUAUAAUUAUUGUUCAAGAAAAACCAAUUGAUGUAUAAUGUAGAACCAUGGCGUCAUUUAUGCACUGCAAAUUGCAAUAUAUAAGAUCCAAAACAAAAUCUGAAUCUCUACCCCAAAGAAAAGAAAAAGGAAAAGAAGAAUACAAAUCAAGACGCCAAGCAAAAGAGGGAAAAUGUUACACAAAAAGAAAAAAAUUGAAGUACAUAAAUAUGUACAGUAAGUUAUAAAAUCCACCUACUAUAAGACUGGAUACACCAGUUCUUAAAUCCCUCAUUUAGUGAACCAGCAUCAAGUAACUGCAAUUUAAGAUGUGCCAAUUAUAAAUAUCCAAAAUAAACUCACCCAAGUAAACUAGCAUUUCCUGGU